GGCAGUUGCUGCUGGGCUCAUUGCAGCUCAGACACAGCAAAAGAGCCUAGAACCUGGGUCCUAGUUUGCACCUAGAAUAUGAGGCAAGUGGCAAGAGUGAUCGUGUUCCUGACCCUGAGUACUUUGAGCCUUGCUAAGACCACCCAGCCCAUCUCCAUGGACUCAUAUGAAGGACAAGAAGUGAACAUAACCUGUAACCACAACGACAUUGCUACAAGUGAUUAUAUCAUGUGGUACCAACAGUUUCCCAACCAAGGACCACGAUUUAUUAUUCAAGGAUACAAGGCAAACAUUGCAAAUGAAGUGGCCUCCUUGUUUAUCCCCACCGACAGAAAGUCCAGCACUCUGAGCCUGCCCCGGGUUGCCCUGAGUGACACUGCUGUGUACUACUGCCUCGUGGGUGACACACACUGAGACAGACAGGCCUGCACCUGUGCAGUUUUCCUCUGUGGGGUGGGACGCACAGCCUAGAAAGAAGUCCAAAAAUGCUUUCUAAAAUUUUUAUUUUCAAAAGAUAUUAGCAAAUUUAUGUAUU